AUUGAACGCUGGCGGCAGGCCUAACACAUUCAAGUCGAACGAGUGGCGGACGGGUGAGUAAUGUCUGGUAAACUGCCCGAUGGAGGGGGAUAACUACUGGAAACGGUAGCUAAUACCGCAUACCAUCUGAUGUGCCCAGAUUGGAUUAGCUAUUAGGUGGGGUAACGGCUCACCUAGGCGACGAUCCCUAGCUGGUCUGAGAGGAUGACCAGCAACACUGGAACGGAGACACGGUCCAGACUCCUACGGGAGGAAGCAGUGGGGAAUAUGGCACAAUGGGCGCAAGCCUGAUGCAGCCAGGCAGCGUGUAGGAAGAAGGGCUUCGGGUUGGAAAGUACUUUCAGUGGGGAGGCGUUACUCGCAGAAGAAGCACCGGCUAACUCCGUGCCAGCAGCCGCGGUAAUAC
rnacentral:rRNA from 1 species